AAGUCGUAAACAAGGUUACCUUCUGCGAGCCGCAAGACUUCCGGGAGGAAGCCUUUGCAACCCCUAUGAGGGGAGGGUCAGCAACCAGACUAGUAAAUAAAGGCUCGCCGCGUGCAAGUCAGACCCGUUUGGGUCAGCAACAUCAAUCAUGAAUUGACGGGGGACCUUACCUAAAAGCCCUUGCAACACCAACCGUCCGAAGAAACUUCAGGGCGAGGCCCUGCAACGGGAUGGGUAAGAGAGUGGCAAGGACUGAACAAUUGGGACGAACUCCGCAGUCGAAAAGGACCCCUAAAGGGCUCUAUUGUCUACGGGGUACCGUUCACAGACUUAAGGUGAUUGUGGGCAGAGCACGGUGCUCUUGUCUAAGAUAAUAGUCGGCCUCUGCCCGAAAAGGGACGGAGAAAUAGCGUGUCCCGGUAGGGUGAACCUGCGGAAAGGGAAUUCAUUAAAGAACGCCCCGUUUUUUUACAAAUGGGGUUUCAAUACCCCAACCGCGUAUACCUUAACCUUUUGUUUGCUUUUGGGCGGGGCCCGGCCCUUUGAGGCAGUUUGGCUCCGGCUGAACUGCGCCCCGCCCAGAGAAAACCCAAAACUCGUUUUGUUUUAAGUGAGUCUGAGUACUAUAAAAUUUUUAAAA
rnacentral:misc_RNA from 1 species